rnacentral:rRNA from 1 species
AUUGAACGCUGGCGGCAGGCCUAACACAUGCAAGUCGAACGGUAACAGGAAGAAGCUUGCUUCUUUGCUGACGAGUGGCGGACGGGUGAGUAAUGUCUGGGAAACUGCCUGAUGGAGGGGGAUAACUACUGGAAACGGUAGCUAAUACCGCAUAACGUCGCAAGACCAAAGAGGGGGACCUUCGGGCCUCUUGCCAUCGGAUGUGCCCAGAUGGGAUUAGCUAGUAGGUGGGGUAACGGCUCACCUAGGCGACGAUCCCUAGCUGGUCUGAGAGGAUGACCAGCCACACUGGAACUGGGACACGGUCCAGACUCCUACGGGAGGCAGCAGUGGGGAAUAUUGCACAAAGGGCGCAAGCCUGAUGCAGCCAUGCCGCGUGUAUGAAGAAGGCCUUCGGGUUGUAAAGUACUUUCAGCGGGGAGGAAGGGAGUAAAGUUAAUACCUUUGCUCAUUGACGUUACCCGCAGAAGAAGCACCGGCUAACUCCGUG